CUAUCAAAUACACUGUUCUAGAAGCAUCCGCAUUCUUCUUUCAUCUCCCCACCGCCAACACUAGAUUUUUAUCUCAGCUCUAUACACAACUCUAGAAUCAUCAAUUCUUCAAUCCUUCUUAUGCCAAUAAUAGUAAAUUGAUUCAUAAUUUGUGAUUAGUUCAGAUAUAUUUUUGUUCAAAUUUCGCAACAAAUUUCUGUCAGCUUUAUUCAAACUCCACUCUCCCAGUUUUUUUAUGGCUAAAAUCCAUGGCAGAUGUGAAAGGUUUUUGUUACCCUCCUAAAUCUUCUAUUUUUUUAAAAAAAAUAUAUGUUUUAUCUUUAAGAAAUUGUGGUUAUUCUAUAAAAUUGCUCUGUUGAUAUGAAGUUGUCUCAAAUUUUAUUUAUUAUUUAUGAAAUGUUGACUUGCUGAUUGGUGGGUUGUGUGGGAUUUUUGGAAAGAUGGGAUCUUUGGUUUUAUUUUUGGGGUUGAAGUGAGGGAAAUCAUAGAGGUUUUUAUGGAUUCUGGUGAAGAUAAGUGCAAAACAGAAAGUUUGGUUAGUGGAGGACAUACUCUACUUGAUGAAAUAAAGUUGUUGAAGGAAAUGCAGGAUCAUACUGGAGAAAGGAAGCUAAUAAAUUCUGAGUUGUGGUAUGCUUGUGCUGGCCCAUUUGUAACAUUGCCUCAGGUUGGAAGCCUUGUGUAUUACUUCCCACAGGGCACAGUGAACAGAAGGUGGCAGUUUCCAUAAAUAGAACAAUAACUUCAUAGAUACCUAAUUAUGCAAAUCUUGCUUCUCAGUUGUUGUGCCAAGUUCACAAUGUUACCCUGAAGAUAAGGAGACAGAUGAGAUCGAUGCUAAAAUGAGCCUCUAACCUGUGAAUUCUAAAAGUUUUAUGAUCUAUUAUUUGUGGUAAAAUUUAAAACAGAUGAUAAUGUACUGAUGGAGGAGAAGGAUGUUUUUACUAUUGAAAACCUGCUAAAAUUCUUUCCGCGUACCUAUUCUUGGUUAGGAGAGAGAUGUCUUCCCCAUUCUAGAUUUUGGACUGAAGCCUAAUAAGUAUCCAACCGAUUUCUUUUGUAAAACUUUGACUGCCAGUGAUACGAGCACACAUGGUGGGUUUUCUCUUCCUAGAAGAGCAGCGGAAAAGCUGUUCCCACCCUUGGGCAUCCAAAGCAACAUCUUCUCACAAUUGGAUGGAGCAUGUUUGUUGGAGUAAAAUGCCUUAGAGCUGGUGAUUCUGUUCUGUUCUAUUUAUCAGGGAUGAGAAGUCACAGUUAUUGCUGGGAGUGAGGUGGGCUAACUGUCAACAAACCUCAUUGACCUCUUCAGUCCUGUCUGCUGAUAGUAUGUAUAUUGGAGUCCUUGCAGCUGGUGCCCAUGCUGCUGCUAAUAGAAGCACAUUCACAAUAUUCCACAAUCCUAGGUAUGUCUCAAAGCCAGCUUCUAUUUUUAACUUUAAUCCACGCACCAUCCCUUGUAGUCUACUAUUCAGCAUCUUGCUUAUAUAUUUUUUUAUAACUAGGAGCUUACUUUUCUUCAGGGAAUGUUCUUCAUAGUUUGUCAUUCCUUUGGCCAAAUAUAGAAAAUCUGUUUAUAGCACAUAGCUUUUAGUUGGUAUGAGGUUUGGAAAUGAUGUUUGAAACUGAGGAAAUUGGUAAAGGCAGGUAAGUUUUCUUCCAGAUUCAUGGGAUCGCAUGGUAAAAUUUACAUUCGGAUAAUCAAUCUUCUUCUUCACUUCAUUUGACUUUGAAGUCCUAUUGUGAGAUCAUCAGUUCUUCCAUCCCUCUUGUUCCAACAAUAGUGAAUUAAUUUAUAAUUCAUGAUAAGUCCAGGUAUGUUUUCGUUCAAAUUUCGAAACUAAUUUCUGUCGGUUCUAUUCAAACUCAACUCUCUCAAUUUUAUGGCUAAAAUUCAUGGCGGAUGCGAAAGAUUUUCGUUGCUCUCACAAAUCUUCUAUCUUUUUUUUAAAAAAAUACUUAUCUUCAAGAAACUAUGUUUGUUCUAUAAAAUUACCUGUUUGACAUGAAGUUCUCAUAUUUUAUUUAUGAAAUGUUUCUAAGUGUGAAAGUUUUAGUUGAUUUUUUUCUAAAACAAAAAUUUUGAAUCUUACAGGGAAAUUUGAGACUGCAUACGCUGCAGAUAGGUACGACACACUAAUUAAAUUUUGAGCGUUUUUAGUGAAGUCAUAAUAGUGCUAUCUAAAUGGUAGAAAUUGGAUCUUUAUGGUGUUAACUUUUUGUCUUAUUUUCAGUGCAUAUGAACUUUUUGUCUUAUUUUCAGUGCAUAUGAUCGUGCUGCAACUAAAUUUAGACGACUUUAUGCAAAUAUUAAUUUCAAUUUUGGUUAUUAUCAUGAUGACCUAAAACAGGUGUAUUUCCUUGUUGGAUCAAGGAUUUAAAUCUCAGGAAUGUUGCUUCUACCACCCACUCUCUAAUGAUACAACAAUUGGGCAUAUUGUUGACAUUGCCACAUGGAAUAAAGAUGGUCUUUCUUGAGGUAAUCGGAGGAGGAUCUAAAAUUUCUAGUUAUGAGGUCUUUUUAGCUUAUUGGGUUCUACAUAAAUCAUUUAAUAUAUAUUAACUGAAAUUUUUUACACACGCCUAUACAAUGUCAUAGGUGCAGGGAGGCGAGAUUUCCUCUUAUAUUGGGGGGAUAAACUUCUCCUGAACUAUCAUCAAUGCCAUUUUAGCUAUGUUAACCCUUCAUAUGUCACUUACAUGCUUUCGGAAAGGCUCAUAGGAUGGAUCCAACAUCAAGUGGGCGUGGCGUUCAUCAAUGUAAGAAGUACCUGUUUCAUAGACUUGAAAGGGUAGGAACAUCAUAUUCAAGUUAAAACUUUGUGGUUUCAUCUUUCUUACAAAACAUCCUUAAAUGUACUCUGCUGCUGUUAUUUGGUAUAGCCAUAGAUGAGAGGAUUUUCUACAAGUUGACCUCGAAUGACUUAAGUAGGUUUGUUGUAAUGGACUAUAUCUUUGUGUUUUACAAUAGGCUCUCUCGAAAACAUACUAUGAAUUUUUUCACAUUUUAGCCAGUAUCUGUAUUAUUCAACUGAUUACCAGUAUGUUGGGAUAUGGCCUCCAUAUGUUCAAAAUUAAUUUAUUUCCUUUUAGUGGUG